rnacentral:rRNA from 1 species
AGAGUUUGAUCCUGGCUCAGGACGAACGCUGGCGGCGUGCUUAACACAUGCAAGUCGAGCGAGGCCCACUCUUCUGGGGGUGGUGCCCUAGCGGCGAACGGGUGAGUAACACGUGGGCAACUGCCUCAGCUCUGGAUAACUCCAAGAAAUUGGUGCUAAUACCGGAUGUGACCGCUGACCGCAUGGUCUGGUGGUGGAAAGAUUUAUCGGCUGAGGAUGGGCCCGCGGCCUAUCAGCUUGUUGGUGGGGUAAUGGCCCACCAAGGCGACGACGUGUAGCCGGCCUGAGAGGGUGACCGGCCACACUGGGACUGAGACACGGCCCAGACUCCUACGGGAGGCAGCAGUGGGGAAUAUUGCGCAAUGGGCGAAAGCCUGACGCAGCGACGCCGCGUGAGGGAUGACGGCCUUCGGGUUGUAAACCUCUUUCAGUAGGGACGAAGCGAGAGUGACGGUACCUACAGAAGAAGCACCGGCCAACUACGUGCCAGCAGCCGCGGUAAUACGUAGGGUGCAAGCGUUGUCCGGAAUUAUUGGGCGUAAAGAGCUCGUAGGCGGUCUGUCGCGUCGGCUGUGAAAACCCGAGGCUCAACCUCGGGCCUGCAGUCGAUACGGGCAAACUAGAGUACUGCAGGGGAGACUGGAAUUCCUGGUGUAGCGGUGAAAUGCGCAGAUAUCAGGAGGAACACCGGUGGCGAAGGCGGGUCUCUGGGCAGUAACUGACGCUGAGGAGCGAAAGCGUGGGGAGCGAACAGGAUUAGAUACCCUGGUAGUCCACGCCGUAAACGUUGGGCGCUAGGUGUGGGGGCCAUUCCACGGUCUCCGUGCCGCAGCUAACGCAUUAAGCGCCCCGCCUGGGGAGUACGGCCGCAAGGCUAAAACUCAAAGGAAUUGACGG